UUCUACCUCCACCACAAGCGGUGCCUGGACGAGGCUCCACCUCAUCUUGAUGUCUCGCUCGCCGUCAUCUCGUUGGCCCGUUGAGACGCCAUGGGCGGACUCUGUUGCAGCAAAAUCAUCUCGUCGUCGUCACCGGUCUCACCUCCACCAUGAUGAUUGUAGCAAAUAAAUUACCGGUAGUUUUGCUCAUUCUUUAGGGAUAUAGUUUCGCAUUUGAAUUUUAUGAGUUUUGAUUGAACGGACUUGUAUUCGUAGAUUUAAAAAAUAGGCCAAUUGGCAGUGUCCAAAUAAUAUGUGCAACAAUUUUUAGCUCUUAAUAUUUGUUGGGGAACGUCGUAUGGGAAACAAAAAU
rnacentral:lncRNA from 1 species